rnacentral:rRNA from 1 species
UCCGUAGGUGAACCUGCGGAAGGAUCAUUAAAUAAUUUAGAUGGCCUUUGCUAGUUUUCUAGCGAAUGGUUCAUUCUUUUUUACUGUGAACUGUUUUAAUUUUUCAGCGUCUGAGGAAUGUCUUUUAGCCAUAGGGAUAGGCUACUAGAAUGUUAACCGAGCUGAAAGUCAGGCUUAGGCCUGGUAUCCUAUUAAUUAUUUACCAAAAGAAUUCAGUAUUAUAAUUGUAACAUAAGCGUAAAAAACUUAUAAAACAACUUUUAACAACGGAUCUCUUGGUUCUCGCAUCGAUGAAGAACGUAGCAAAGUGCGAUAACUAGUGUGAAUUGCAUAUUCAGUGAAUCAUCGAGUCUUUGAACGCAACUUGCGCUCAAUGGUAUUCCAUUGAGCACGCCUGUUUCAGUAUCAAAAACACCCCACAUUCAUAAUUUUGUUGUGAAUGGAAAUGAGAGUUUCGGCUUUAUUGCUGAAUUCUUUAAAAUUAUUAGGCCUGAACUAUUGUUCUUUCUGCCUGAACAUUUUUUUAAUAUAAAGGAAUGCUCUAGUAAAAAGACUAUCUCUGGGGCCUCCCAAAUAAAUCAUUCUUAAAUUUGAUCUGAAAUCAGGCGGGAUUACCCGCUGAACUUAAGCAUAUCAAUAAGCGGAGGA